AUUGAACGCUGGCGGCAGGCUUAACACAUGCAAGUCGAGCGAGCGGCGCGAGGGUGAGUAAUGUCUGGGAAAAUGCCUCAUGGGGGGGGAUAACUCCUCGAAACGCUAGAUCAUACCGCAUACCCUCUGAUGUGCCCACAUGGGAUUAGCUAGUAGGUGGGGUAACGGCUCACCUAGGCGACGAUCCCUAGCUGGUCUCAGAGGAUGACCAGCCACACUGGAACUGAGACACGGUCCAGACUCCUACGGGAGGCAGCAGUGGGGAAGAUUGCACAAUGGGCGCAAGCCUGAUGCAGCCAUGCCGCGUGUGUGAAGAAGGCCUUCGGGUUGUAAAGCACUUUCAGCGGGGAGGCGUUACCCGCAGAAGAAGCACCGGCUAACUCCGUGCCAGCAGCCGCGGUAAUUC
rnacentral:rRNA from 1 species